CAGAACAGCCAGAAUCACCAGCGCAGAGCUGAUCAGAGCCCAAGAGACAACACCGCACAGUAGAGAACUCAGGAAGGGUAGGCACAGAAGAAGAAUGAAGCUAGAGGGCAAAAGGAGGAGAGCUCCAGUUUUUCCUGAUCGUCUUUCCAGGGAGUUGCUCUGAGGGAAAGUAAAGAUGAGAUAGCUGUUUCCAGAAACACUGUUGACCCUGAACGAAUGGUCUACACGAGCUAAGGAUUCCCUGAGGCUCCAUACCAUCGGGAUCAGAACCUCCACAAGAGAACAGCAGGUUCAGGCAAGUCACUGUGCUGAGACACCACUUGGGGCCAGAUUUUAAUAGCUGACAGCUCAUAAUGGAUUGACAAAAGCAAAACAUCAUUAACUUGAAUCUACAAAGUCGACAUUUCCAUAUGCAAAUAGGAACUGGCACAUAUGUGCUGUGUACAAGUCUCA
rnacentral:sRNA from 1 species